GACGAACGCUGGCGGCGUGCUUAACACAUGCAAGUCGAACGGAAAGGCCCUGAUUUUGUGGGGUGCUCGAGUGGCGAACGGGUGAGUAACACGUGAGUAACCUGCCCUUGACUUUGGGAUAACUUCAGGAAACUGGGGCUAAUACCGGAUAGGAGCUCCUGCUGCAUGGUGGGGGUGGGAAAGUUUCGGCGGUUGGGGAUGGACUCGCGGCUUACCAGCUAGUUGGUGGGGUAGUGGCUUACCAAGGCUGUGACGGGUAGCCGGCCUGGGAGGGUGACCGGCCACAUUGGGCCUGCGAUACGGCCCAGACUCCUACGGGAGGCAGCGGUGGGGAAUAUUGCACAAUGGGCGGGAGCCUGAUGCAGCAACGCCGCGUUCGGGAUGACGGCCUUCGGGUUGUAAACCGCUUUCGCCUGUGACGAAGCGUGAGUGACGGUAAUGGGUAAAGAAGCACCGGCUAACUACGUG
rnacentral:rRNA from 1 species